rnacentral:lncRNA from 1 species
AUCAUAAGCACUGAAAUAGUCGCAUACUUCUACAACUUGAAAAAAAGAGAGCAACAACUAGGGAAACAGAAACCUACCGAUACAAACAAGUAGAGCUGCUACUUAGGGUAGGAAGUGCAGGGCGCAAAAUGGAAUUGACGGGAGGGAAACUUAGGCUAGAUCGAGGAUCCUCCUAACUGCAGAAGAUUGAUGAUGGAGAGUGCAACAUUGA